rnacentral:rRNA from 1 species
AUUGAACGCUGGCGGCAGGCCUAACACAUGCAAGUCGAACGAGUGGCGGACGGGUGAGUAAUGUCUGGGAAACUGCCCGAUGGAGGGGGAUAACUACUGGAAACGGUAGCUAAUACCGCAUACCAUCGGAUGUGCCCAGAUGGGAUUAGCUAGUAGGUGGGGUAACGGCUCACCUUGGCGACGAUCCCUAGCUGGUCUGAGAGGAUGACCAGACAAGCUGGAAUGGGGACGUGGUCCAGACUCCUACGAGAGGCAGCAGUGGGAGAUAUUGCACAAUGGGAGCAAGCCUGAUGCAGCCAUGCCGCGUGUAUGAAGAAGGCCUUCGGGUUGUAAAGUACUUUCAGCGAGGAGGCGGUACUCGCAGAAGAAGCACCGGCUAACUCCGUGCCAGCAGCCGCGGUAAUAC